UUUACAACAGUGUUUGUGCUAAGACCAUCGUGACUUACAUAUUAUGACAUAGACUUACAUUUACAACAGUCUUAGCGAUAAGAUCAUCAAAACAAGCGUUCUAUGACACAGACUUUCAACAUUUACCACAGUCUUAGCGCUAAGAUCACUCUGUGCAAGAUGGUCCUGGUCGUUAACCCUCCUCCUAUACAGCCACCUCCCAAAUGAAAGGAAGUGACACCACACCCGAGAUUGCUUUGUUCUGAUUAACAGUGUCAUGACUGUUGUACAUGCUGCACCAUGUUGAGAAGGAACAAACUGUUGAUGAUCAUGUCCAGUGCAGACAGUCCUAUGAUGAGGAUGGGCCUAAUGAAGUGACUAUGUCCGUGUGGACAUCAGAUAUAUAUGCAAGGACAUUAGGAUGCUGUUCUCUGAUGCUGAUGCAGACCUGAGUCUGUUCCUGUGAAUUGAUAUUAAGAGUGUAUACUGCCUUGGAUGUGGCCAGUUUUAUCUGUCCACCAUAUUCAUUAAGCAUAACCUUUACAAUGUAUUGAAUGUGUAAAAGAGACAUAAACUGUAACAUAUGAGUAUUUGUUCUGACAAAUUGUAGAGUUAUUAAGUAUCUUUUGUGUUAUUGUUCAAGUGGAUAUGUCCUAUUCGUAAACUCUAAAAAGGUGCAGAACCUGAGAUGAGAUGAAAUCCCUGAGAUGAAAGUUGUCCUGUUUUGUUAGAGACAGUUUACCAGGAAAGAGUAACUGGUCCCACUGGAAGGUGGGGAUGUUUGUUCAUUGAUAAACGUGAUCUCCUGGCACUACAUUCAAGAGCUCUAGUGUUUUUAGAUCUACCAGGAUCUGUUUGUAGAUGAUCUGUUUCAUGAUUAUGUAGCAUAAUAUUGUAUUUAUUCAUUAAAUAGUAGAGUGCAAUGUAGGACUGGGCCUGUGGUUAGUCAAGUGAUAUAUUAUUUAAAUACAAUAACAAUAAAAGUCACUUAUGAUUGCAUUUCUUUCUGAUUUAUGCAUGCAUUGUUUCUGAUUUUUAUACAUUUCAGUAAAGACAGAUGGCAAAUGCGUGUGUGGACUUCAGAGUAUGCAUGAUCUGAUCGUUUUAUACGUGUAUGUAAACUGCUUCUAGGUUUGUCAGCACCAUUGCCUGCUCGCGGGUUUCACUGAAGUGGUAAACGUCUGAGACCUGCAUCACUUCGGGCUUUCCUCCCACAUUAUUUUGACACGCUGCGAUAUAACUGGAAUACUGUUAAAAGCGGUGUUAAACCCAACUCACUCACUUGUUAUCUCAGCUCAUCUGAAAUUGGUUUGAAAUCCAAAGAUUUAGUUUGGUCCUGUAAUGAUGAAAAAGCUGAAUAUCAUUCUGUCAUUCCUGCUACUAUAUACAUAUAUAUAUAUAUAUAUGCUUUGUCAAGAGGUUUGUUUCAGAUAAUUUGUUAUUAUCCUAUAUGAUAGUAAUCAUCGUUAACUGUGAGUUGUUGCAUGCUUUUUAUAAUAGUUUUUAAUGUCGCUAGGCUACUUAGAUUUGAGAUAUUGAAAAAGACUCACUAUUGGAAUAAGAUACAGUAAUUAUUUUACGAAGGGGUUAAAAGUCUCGAACAAUGUCAGUAAAUACAUGUGUACAGCCAUUGAACAAGCACUGAGAGAACUAUAUCUGAUCAAAGGGAUGUAACUCUGGUGGCACAUUUUUUGUUAACCAUCAUAGAAUAUUUCAUAGAGGAAAGGUUCUUAUUUCAUUUAUGUCUUUCUAGGAUAGAAAAGUAUAAAUAUUGUUGUACAUGUAUGUAUAUGUAUGGAAUGUAUUGUAUAAUGGAGAAUGUAGUGUUCAUUGGUUUAUAUUAAUAAUCUCUAGGUUGUUUGUACACAGUGUAGCUUCCUGGUAAUACUGUCACUGUUAGAUUUCAUCGAGGUGUUUUUCAAUUUUUAUUGGAUUGUUUAAACUCUUUAUACAUGGUUAGUUUACUUCUUUUACUGUUUUUAAUUUAUUAUUGCUUUAUAAGUUUACACAUUAAAGGCAAGAUACAACUAAGCUGCUUCAGAUUGCCAAAGUGCUUUGGUCAUUGACCAUUGAAAACCAUGACCCUCCAGUGUUAAGCAAUAUUACCCAAGACAUGGAUACCUGGUCCAUGAUUUUCCCAGAUAAUGGGUUGUCACUGAACCAGACUUCGAUUCACAGUCCAUCAUUUUCCAAGAUAAUGGGUCGAAUAUUGAAUAUCGAAGUCUUCACACCAAUCUGAAGCUCUGCAACUUGUCUGUUAUUUUCUUGGCAUUACUGAACUGAAGAAGCCUUUGAAUGGAAGAACUUGAAUUGGUGCUAUGUGUUCAUUUGCCUCUGGAUGAAAUGAUGAAGCCAUGUGUUUCAAGACUUUCGAUUAAAUGUUAUAUGAUAUACUUGCCACUACGAAAAGCUUUUACAUGUUUAUCAAUAUUUUGUACAAGGAGUCUGAACCUCACAUGUAACUUUUAUACUGCAAGAAGUGCAAAAGAGCAGAACAAGGUGAUUAAAUAUAUAGUCUUUGAA